ACCCGCUGAACUUAAGCAUAUCAAUAAGCGGAGGAAAAGAAACCAACAGGGAUUACCUCAGUAACGGCGAGUGAAGCGGUAACAGCUCAAAUUUGAAAGCUGCCAACAGGCCGCGUUGUAAUUUGUAGAAGCUGCUUUGGGUGUCGGCCCGGUCUAAGUUCCUUGGAACAGGACGUCAUAGAGGGUGAGAAUCCCGUAUGUGAUCGGUGCCGUUGCCCGUGUAAAGCGCUUUCGACGAGUCGAGUUGUUUGGGAAUGCAGCUCAAAAUGGGUGGUAAAUUUCAUCUAAAGCUAAAUAUUGGCCAGAGACCGAUAGCGCACAAGUAGAGUGAUCGAAAGAUGAAAAGCACUUUGGAAAGAGAGUUAAACAGUACGUGAAAUUGUUGAAAGGGAAGCGCUUGCAACCAGACUUGCGGGCGGUCGAUCAUCCGAGGUUCUCCCCGGUGCACUCGAUCGUUCUCAGGCCAGCAUCGGUUUCCGGGGUGGGAUAAAGGCGGUGGGAAUGUGGCUCUUCGGAGUGUUAUAGCCCACCGUGCAAUGCCGCCACUGGGGACCGAGGACCGCGCUUCGGCUAGGAUGCUGGCGUAAUGGUUGUAAGCGACCCGUCUUGAAACACGG
rnacentral:rRNA from 1 species